UAGUGGCGAACGGGUGAGUAACACGUGGGCAAUCUGCCCUUCACUCUGGGACAAGCCCUGGAAACGGGGUCUAAUACCGGAUAACACUCUUCCCUGCAUGGGGGAGGGUUGAAAGCUCCGGCGGUGGAGGAUGAGCCCGCGGCCUAUCAGCUUGUUGGUGGGGUGAUGGCCUACCAAGGCGACGACGGGUAGCCGGCCUGAGAGGGCGACCGGCCACACUGGGACUGAGACACGGCCCAGACUCCUACGGGAGGCAGCAGUGGGGAAUAUUGCACAAUGGGCGGAAGCCUGAUGCAGCGACGCCGCGUGAGGGAUGACGGCCUUCGGGUUGUAAACCUCUUUCAGCAGGGAAGAAGCGUGAGUGACGGUACCUGCAGAAGAAGCGCCGGCUAACUACGUGCCAGCAGCCGCGGUAAUACGUAGGGCGCAAGCGUUGUCCGGAAUUAUUGGGCGUAAAGAGCUCGUAGGCGGNUUGUCGCGUCGGAUGUNGAAAGCCCGGGGCUCAACCCCGGGUCUGCAUUCGAUACGGNCAGGCUGGAGUGUGGUAGGGGAGAUCGGAAUUCCU
rnacentral:rRNA from 1 species